rnacentral:rRNA from 1 species
GACAGAGGGUGCAAACGUUGUUCGGAAUUACUGGGCGUAAAGCGCGUGUAGGCGGCAAGGCAAGUCGGAUGUGAAAGCCCACGGCUCAACCGUGGAAGUGCACCCGAAACUGCCUAGCUAGAGUCUCGGAGAGGAAGGUGGAAUGCUUGGUGUAGAGGUGAAAUUCGUAGAUAUCAAGCGGAACACCGGUGGCGAAGGCGGCCUUCUGGACGAUGACUGACGCUGAGACGCGAAAGCUAGGGGAGCAAACAGG